rnacentral:rRNA from 1 species
GCACGGGAGCUUGCUCCUGGUGGCGAGCGGCGGACGGGUGAGUAACGCGUGGGAAUCUACCCUCUUGUGGGGGAUAACUUGGGGAAACCCAAGCUAAUACCGCAUAAGUCCUAAGGGAGAAAGCGGGGGAUCUUCGGACCUCGCGCAAGAGGAUGAGCCCGCGUCAGAUUAGCUAGUUGGUAGGGUAAAGGCCUACCAAGGCGACGAUCUGUAACUGGUCUGAGAGGAUGAUCAGUCACACCGGAACUGAGACACGGUCCGGACUCCUACGGGAGGCAGCAGUGGGGAAUCUUGGACAAUGGGGGAAACCCUGAUCCAGCCAUGCCGCGUGUGUGAAGAAGGCCUUAGGGUUGUAAAGCACUUUCAGCAGGGAGGAAGGCUUUAGCUUAAUACGCUGAAGUACUUGACGUUACCUGCAGAAGAAGCACCGGCUAAUUUCGUGCCAGCAGCCGCGGUAAUACGAAAGGUGCGAGCGUUAAUCGGAAUUACUGGGCGUAAAGCGCGCGUAGGCGGCUACUUAAGUCGGAUGUGAAAUCCCCGGGCUCAACCUGGGAACUGCAUCCGAUACUGGGUAGCUAGAGUGCAGUAGAGGGAGGUGGAAUUUCAGGUGUAGCGGUGAAAUGCGUAGAGAUCUGAAGGAACACCAGUGGCGAAGGCGGCCUCCUGGACUGACACUGACGCUGAGGUGCGAAAGCGUGGGGAUCAAACAGGAUUAGAUACCCUGGUAGUCCACGCCGUAAACGAUGUCUACUAGCCGUUGGGAAUCUUAGUAUUCUUGGUGGCGCAGCUAACGCAAUAAGUAGACCGCCUGGGGAGUACGGCCGCAAGGUUAAAACUCAAAUGAAUUGACGGGGGCCCGCACAAGCGGUGGAGCAUGUGGUUUAAUUCGAUGCAACGCGAAGAACCUUACCAGGUCUUGACAUCCUGCGAACUUUCUAGAGAUAGAUUGGUGCCUUCGGGAGCGCAGUGACAGGUGCUGCAUGGCUGUCGUCAGCUC